rnacentral:tRNA from 1 species
CGGGGUGUAGCGUAGUCCGGUCAUCGCGCCUGGUUUGGGACCAGGAAAUCGUAAGUUCAAAUCUUGUUACUCCGA